rnacentral:rRNA from 1 species
CCCCUUAAGGGAGUGACGGGCGAUUUGUGCAUGAUUAAUUUACAUUUCAAUCUUUAAUUAUUUUAAAGUUUUGUUUUCAAGUCCUUUCUCUAUUUUAUUCUUUUAUUUUUGAUCUUUUUCUUAGGUAUCCCAAGUACCCUAUCUUAUUAUCUUUGUCUUGAUUUGUCUUUCUAUUUAUUUAUUUACAAAUCAUGAUUUUUUUCUUGAUCUAAAGACAAUGAUAUAAAGAAUUAAAAUUAUAGUCUUUUUUUAUCGUGGGCUAUCUAUUAAGACUCAGGAUCCCCUGUUAGUAUUAAUCACCGCCAUUUUCCUUAGGUUUCUUUUCUUUAAAUACUAUCUUUUUCUUUUUUAGGG